rnacentral:rRNA from 1 species
UGGGGAAGUAUUGGACAAUGGGCGAAAGCCUGAUCCAGCCAUGCCGCGUGUGUGAAGAAGGUCUUCGGAUUGUAAAGCACUUUAAGUUGGGAGGAAGGGCAGUAAGCUAAUACCUUGCUGUUUUGACGUUACCGACAGAAUAAGCACCGGCUAACUCUGUGCCAG